rnacentral:rRNA from 1 species
UACGUAGGGGGCAAGCGUUGUCCGGAAUCAUUGGGCGUAAAGCGCGCGUAGGCGGCCGCGCAAGUCGGAUGUGAAAUCUCGGAGCUUAACUCCGAAACUGCAUUCGAUACUGCCGUGCUUGAGGACUGGAGAGGAGACUGGAAUUUACGGUGUAGCGGUGAAAUGCGUAGAUAUCGUAAGGAAGACCAGUGGCGAAGGCGGGUCUCUGGACAGUUCCUGACGCUGAGGCACGAAGGUCAGGGGAGCAAACGGG